AAAUAGAUGAUAUACUGCAGAACUGAUGUAAAAAGUAACAUGAUCAUUAGGGUGAGUGUGAUGAAAAAAAAAAGCAAUUCACAGAUCAUUGCAACAGAUUGCAAACAUGUAAACUUGUACAAAAAUUUUAUCCAUGGGCAGCACUAAGCAGAUGGUAUUUACAUUUGAUUUGGCACACCAGGAAGUUGGAUCAUUUAUUUGGAGGCAAAAACAUUAUUAGCUUGGAACUUGAAUGAAAAAUCACUUGACAGGCUCUUUUCCUCAAAUUAAACAUAAAACAAGAUCAAUACAAUCCUACAAUCACCAUUUUUGGUUUGUUUGACUCACACCACAGGUUAAUGGCCUUUGAUUGGGCCAAUAGCUUUUUCUCAUUAAGGAAGGUAAUUGGCGCUAAAAUAAGAACCUUGGGCAUG
rnacentral:misc_RNA from 1 species